GUUGUUUUUCUCUCAUUGUGUGGACUUAAUAUUAGAUUGCGCCGAAGGCGAUAGUUGUAGGAAGGGCUGUUCAUGGAAAUGUGUGAGCACACAGUCUCCAUGCAUCAGAUGUACAUGUGCUGUGUGAUCCUCCAUGUUGCCUGCCGAUUGUCACAGUCUGUAUGAAAGUAUGUUGGAGCACAAAUUUUUCUAAACCUCGUCACCUCGUCACUUCGUUACUGGAGGCAUCAUUUCAACGUUAACAGUUCGUGAUGCAAACAAAACUUUCAGUGUGAAACGUUUAACGAUGUGACACUGACAAUAAAUUCCCUGUGAUGCGAGCGUUUCAGAUUUUUUUUGU